UACGUAGGUGGCAAGCGUUGUCCGGAAUUAUUGGGCGUAAAGCGCUCGCAGGCGGAUUGAUAAGUCGGGGGUGAAAUCCCGGGGCUCAACCUCGGAAUUGCCUUCGAUACUGUCUAUCUAGAGUCCGGGAGAGGUGAGUGGAAUUCCGAGUGUAGAGGUGAAAUUCGUAGAUAUUAGGAAGAACACCAGUGGCGAAGGCGGCUCACUGGCCCGGUACUGACGCUCAUGUGCGAAAGCGUGGGGAGCAAACAGG
rnacentral:rRNA from 1 species